GAGCGAACGUUGGCGGCGCGCUUAACACAUGCAAGUCGAACGCGAAAAGGGGCAACCCUGAGUAGAGUGGCGCACGGGUGCGUAACACGUAGGCAAUCUGCCCUAUGGAGGGGGAUAACCAUCCGAAAGGAUGGCUAAUACCGCGUAAGACCACGACUGCUUCGGCAGAUGCGGUCAAAGUUGGCCUCUACUUGUAAGCUAACACCAAAGGACGAGCCUGCGGCCCAUCAGCUAGUUGGCAAGGUAACGGCUUACCAAGGCUAAGACGGGUAGCUGGUCUGAGAGGAUGAUCAGCCACACUGGCACUGAAA
rnacentral:rRNA from 1 species